UUUGUGCAUACAAUGAAUGCAAUCAAUUUAUGGGUGUGAGGGAUGAUUGGCCUGCCAACAUUCAAAUGUUUAACAUCUGGUGGGAAGAGGAAAUGUUUCUUGGGACAAUCCACAAGUUGAAGCUGUUAGGAGGAAGCCAUUAUAGCGAAGCGGUUACAUUGUUGUUGCAUCCACCAUGCGCCGACGAAGUAGGAAUCAGCACUCGCCCGUUUCUGCAACAACAGAGCACGAAUUUGGCUACGAGUCGUCUCUUCGUUGAUUUGCUCUCUUCGCGACACUCGCCCAAGAUUGCUGCUCAGUGCGACCUUGAUUUUGUAGGAAGGACACUCACAAUUUUGCUAGAAGUGUCUCACAGCAAUCUUGAUACGAUUUCCCCCAAAUUAGGUUUUCAUAUAUUUUUGGAUUUUCAUUAUGAUUUCCCCAAAUGUACAGGUUUUCAUAGUUUGUUGGAUUUUCAUCACGAUUCCCCUCAAUGCUCGGUUUUGAGUGCACUCACACUGACCAGUUAUUGGCUGCUGUUGUUUCUUUUUAAAGCUUAAUCAGGCAUAACUCAACUUUUACUUGGUGAAGGUGGUUUGCUUAGCAAGAAGGAAAGUUCAGACCAACAGCAUGGGCAAGUCGAAUCCCUAGAGGAAUUGCUGCACUAGUACUCUGUCCUUCAUUGGUGUUCCAUUCUUAUUAAGAAAGUCCUGGGUAUUGGUAAUAAAGCAAUUUAAUUCAGAGGCAAAGUGGAGGUAUCUUCUCUUCCAGAAUUAUUAAAUAAGAGAUAUAGGCUGGAGUUUUAUGGAGGUGACGGAGACUCACAUCAUACAAAUCUUCAAUGUGGGACGAUCAUAUAUGCCUAGCUCAUUCAAAUCUUCAAUGAUGCUCAGAACUGCUCAGAUCUCUCGACGAAGAAGAGGAUUAGUGGAGGGCUUAAGACAGAUGAGUUGUACUAUUUCAAAUGUGGUCAAGUCUUCUCUGAACCAGGUGGGAAAGGCAAAGCUAGCAAGCGAUUGAAUAACAUCCCAUCACCAGCUUUGUUCCUCAUUUGGAAAGGUGAGUCUCUGCAAUAUUGUACUUGUGUAAUGUUAUUGCUAGAAGGCUAAGCCUUUAUUGAUUGCAGGAGGGAAAUGUCCUUGUUAUAUGGGAUAUCCAUCCUAUCAAAUUUUGGUUACAAAUUAAGGGUGAAAUAAAUUAAUCGCGAAAUACUGUUUCAACUUAUUAUUAUUUUAUUCUGCUUUGAUAGGUGAGUUUAACACUCGUUUGAAUUUUUGUUAGAAAUUAAGGAUGGAUACAAUAUUGAUUUUACAAAUCUAUUUUGAGUAUAUUAUUAGUUUAGAAA